AUUGACAAACUAGGCGCUUGUCAAGCAAGGAGGAGCUAAGGCCAUCAUCGCAGGGCCCAAGCAGGAGAAUACUUUCAAAGAUUUGGAUACAUGCAGUUUUGAGCUAAGUAACUUCUUAGUCAGGAGCAGGACCAGUGCAAAGGAGAGAUAAUUGUCGACAUCUGUUGGAAUAUUUGCUUCUCAGGUUAUAGUCAUGUUGAGCAGGGUUAUUAGGCAUCAGAUCUCAAGGAGCCAGAAGGUGAAACAACCUCUGUGUCAUAUUUCAAGACACCUGAGUGCCUCAUCCAUAAGAAGCCAGAAUGACAGUAGUGCGUUAAAUAAGGAGUAUGAUGCCAUUAUCAUAGGAGCAGGACAUAAUGGCUUGGUUGCUUCUGCAUAUCUUCAGAAGGCUGGAUUAAAGACAUUAGUCCUGGAGAGAAGGCAUGUUAUUGGUGGUGCUGCAGUCACUGAAGAAAUUGUUCCUGGUUACAAGUUCUCCAGAUGUUCGUAUGUGCUGAGUUUAUUGAGACCUAUCAUUGUAGAAGAUCUUGAGUUGAAGAAACAUGGUUUGAAAGUUCAUCUGAGGAGUGAUCAUGCAUUUACCCCUCUCUUAGAAGAACCUGGUCCAAAUGGAAGACCAAGAUCUCUUCUCAUGAGCAAAGAUGAGGAAUUUACCAAGCAGCAGAUUGCACAGUUCUCUAAGAAAGAUGCUGAGGUGUACCAUAAAUUUGAUGAGUAUCUCACCAAGAUAGCUGGAGCCCUUGGACCCCUCCUAGACAACCCUCCUCUUGACCUACAACCAAGCAGCCGUACAUCAUUCAAACAAAAGAUGCAGAUGGUUGAUAUUGUCAAGUCUAUCGCCCAGUCAGGCAAAAAACUUGGUCAAGACAUCCCUGAGUUCUACAAUUUGUUAACAGCUCCUAUGAAUAAGAUCCUUGAUAGUUGGUUUGAAUCGGAGCCAUUGAAGGCUACUCUAGCUACAGACUCUGUGAUUGGUGCAUUCUUGACCCCUGAUACACCAGGAAGCGGAUAUGUGCUAUUGCACCAUGUAAUGGGAGAGAUAGAUGGAGUAAAAGGAGCUUGGGGGUACGCUGAAGGUGGUAUGGGGGCGGUCUCUGCAUCCAUCGCCAGCGCUGCAAGAUCUCAUGGAGCUACCAUUCUUACUGAAAAGCCUGUAAGUUCCUUGCUCAUCUCUGAUGAUGACAAAGCCUGUGGAGUGGUCUUAGAAGAUGGUACAGAGAUCAAGAGCAAGAUGGUCUUAUCUAAUGCCACUCCCAAAAUCACAUUCCUGGAUUUGAUUCCUUCUGGCAUAUUACCUGAGAAGCUGAGACAAGAGGUGUCUUCAUUUGAUUUCAAGUCACCUGUUACAAAGAUAAAUGUUGCUGUGGACAGACUUCCAAACUUCACUGCCAUGCCAAACAAUAGUGAUAACACUCCAGGACCAAACCACUUUGGAACCAUCCAUCUAAAUUGUGAAAGGACUGAUCUCCUCAACAAGGCUUACGACAGUGCAAUGGUUGGGGAAAUACCUGAAUUACCUAUGAUAGAGAUGUGCAUCCCUUCCUCCCUGGACCCUACCCUGGCCCCCGAGGGCUGUCAUGUCAUCUCUCUCUUCACUCAAUAUACCCCAUAUGAACUCAGUGGAGGAAGACAAUGGGAUGAGGAGACUAAGAAUAUGUACUGUGAUAGAGUAUUUGAUUGCAUAGAAGCGUAUGCCCCUGGUUUUAAGGAGAGUGUUGUUGGGAGGGAUAUCCUUCCCCCUCCUGAGCUGGAGAGAAUUUUUGGGCUGACUGGAGGGAAUAUCUUCCAUGGAGCAAUGUCUUUGGAUCAGCUGUACUUCAGUCGCCCGUUCCCGUCCUGUGGUAGCUAUCGUACCCCCAUCAAGGGCCUUUACCUCUGUGGGAGUGGCUCUCAUCCAGGGGGUGGGGUAAUGGGUGCACCAGGGAGGAAUGCUGCAUUGGUGGUCAAGGCCGAUAUGUCCUGAAGAUAUCUUGGUUCUUGUGGUUAUUCGUGAUUGAUUCAGAUUAGCUCUUUUGUGACUGAUCUUCGAUCAUCUUACAAAGUAAAAGUUGGUAAUUUGGUUGGAUGGGACGUUUUUGCAAUUGAUCAUGAAUUCUUCGAUGUUGGUAUCAGUACCCUGUAUAAAAGAAGAUCAAAAGGGAAGUCUACCAUAACAAAUAGUUAGUUUUAAUAAAACAAGUAAAAAGAAGUAUGCAUAUCAUUGGAAAUUUCAUAGAUAUUGGAUGUAAAAUGUGAAAUUUUUAAGUUUCCAUUGAUUUCACAAAAAAGUUAUAUGCACGUCCUGGACACUAUGCAUACUUGAUAAUUCUAUUGCGAAUAGCCAUUGUUCUAACCUAUUGUGAUUAAUUGAAGAGAUUCUUUAUUAUCUAAUCUGCAAAACUUGAAAUAUUGUAUAAAUCAUACAAUGAAUUACAAAAGAAAUACUGUGUGUGUGUGACACCAAAUUGGUUUAUUAAUAUCUUACUGAUAUGCAUAUAACUGUUUUGUGAAAUUGAGCAAAACAGCCUAAACUUGAAAAAACAGAUGUGUUAACUUUCUUAUUUUAUAUCCGAUUUUGAUGGAACAUUCAGUAUUGUUUGAUUUUUAACUAUUUUUUCAAAUCAACUUUUGGGGUGGAUUUCACUUUUGAAAUUUAAUGGAGCCUUUUUAACCAGUUAGAAGGGCAUGGAAUAUUCUUUAAGAAUAAUCAUACAAACACUGAUGCCUAUCUGUGAGCAGCUGUGGAGUAUUUUAAGGAGCGAGGACUAAAAGAAACAAAGUAUUGAUCUCUCCUAAAUAAGAAAAGUAACACUACUUAAAGGACAAAAAGCAGUUGGUAUCUUUGCAGUUGUGAACUAUUUGAACCACAACAUUUUUUACCAUAGAAAACAAUUUGCAAUCAAUCACAAUUUUGGUUCUGACUGAUGUAUUGUUAGCUUGUUGAACAGUAUACAAAUAAUGAAUGUUUAUGAGUGCAAUGGACAGAAUACUUCAUGAGGUGAAAGAUGAAAAGAUCCAUUCAACGAGGCGUAGCCGAGUUGAAUGGAUCAUUCAUUUCAUCUCAACGAAUGAAGUAUUCUGUCCAUUGCACAAAUGAACAUUCAUUAUUUGGUUUAUAUGACACUUAAAACUAGAUUAUUUUUCAGAGGAAAUUUAUCAGUUUCGAUGCAAAAUAUGACCAUACAAUGCGAGCUCGGUCUGUUGAUUGUCGCGUAAGUAUGUCGCGUAUACAAUGAGUAUGUGCAAUGGACAAAAACGUAUGGAUCCAAAAUUGCACGGUCGAUGACGUCAUUGUAAAAUGGUCCGAAUGAUCGAUAUCAAACAACCAAUCAAAUGCCAAGGAUCUAUCUAGGUGUCAUAUAAUAUGUCAUUUAUCAUAAAUUGGACAGUUGAAUGUCGGGUUGAAUAUUAUGAAGAUGUAAUUAAUCAUGGGCUUAUAACUUUUGUUGAUACCCUAAAAUUUAUUUGUAAUCAAUGUGUCAGUUGUGAUUGAAUCUUCUGUAGAAUGUCAAUUUUACAAAUACGGGUGACAUGCAUGAGCUGUUUGCUGCAAAAAUAAUUCAUAUUUAGUAUUAAUAGUCUGACAUUCCAUAUAUUUUUUAUAUAUAAAUAUAUUUUUGUGUGUUAUAUUUCAUUAUAGAGAUUGUAUACAAAUUCAGAUUUAUACAUUUUUUAUAACAAAUUUGUUAUAAAUGUAUAUAUAUGAGCAAUUACUUAUUUGGGGACAAUACAGUACAUACUUGCAUUCCAUAUUUUUACAGUUUUGUGAAGCAGCAGUAAAUUAAAAUUAUGUUCUGAAUCUUUAUGAUGCUGUUUUAAAUCACAUUGUACAUUCAUAUGAAAUAUCACUGCCUGGACAAUCUGGUACAGUAUAAAGAAAUACUAGUACUGUAUGUGAACAAGAUGCAAUACUUCAUGUGUUUAUCUGUGUGAGAUAUUAAUAGGUGAUCUACCUUUUAUUCUUUUAA